AACGAACGCUGGCGGCAUGCCUAACACAUGCAAGUCGAACGAUAAGCCACCUUCGGGUGGUGGACAGUGGCGCACGGGUGAGUAACACGUGGGGACCUGCCUGAUAGUACGGAAAAACAGUUGGAAACGACUGCUAAUACCGUAUACGCCCGUUCGGGGGAAAGAUUUAUCGCUAUCAGAUGGACCCGCGCUAGAUUAGAUAGUUGGUGAGGUAAUGGCUCACCAAGUCGACGAUCUAUAGCUGGUUUGAGAAGAUGAUCAGCCACAUUGGGACUGAGACACGGCCCAGACUCCUACGGGAGGCAGCAGUGGGGAAUAUUGUACAAUGGGCGCAAGCCUGAUACAGCAAUGCCGCGUGAGUGAAGACGGCCUUAGGGUUGUAAAACUCUUUCGCCAGGGAAGAUAAUGACGGUACCUGGUAAAGAAGUCCCGGCUAACUCCGUG
rnacentral:rRNA from 1 species